rnacentral:rRNA from 1 species
GAUGAACGCUGGCGGCGUGCCUAAUACAUGCAAGUCGAGCGAAUGGAUUGAGAGCUUGCUCUUAUGAAGUUAGCGGCGGACGGGUGAGUAACACGUGGGCAACCUGCCCAUAAGACUGGGAUAACUCCGGGAAACCGGGGCUAAUACCGGAUAACAUUUUGAACCGCAUGGUUCGAAAUUGAAAGGCGGCUUCGGCUGUCACUUAUGGAUGGACCCGCGUCGCAUUAGCUCGUUGGUGAGGUAACGGCUCACCAAGGCAACGAUGCGUAGCCGACCUGAGAGGGUGAUCGGCCACUCUGGGACUGAGACACGGCCCAGACUCCUACGGGAGGCAGCAGUAGGGAAUCUUCCGCAAUGGACGAAAGUCUGACGGAGCAACGCCGCGUGAGUGAUGAAGGCUUUCGGGUCGUAAAACUCUGUUGUUAGGGAAGAACAAGUGCUAGUUGAAUAAGCUGACACCUUGACGGUACCUAACCAGAAAGCCACGGCUAACUACGUGCCAGCAGCCGCCGUAA